GAUGAACGCUGGCGGCGUGCCUAAUACAUGCAAGUCGAGCGAACGGACGAGAAGCUUGCUUCUCUGAUGUUAGCGGCGGACGGGUGAGUAACACGUGGAUAACCUACCUAUAAGACUGGGAUAACUUCGGGAAACCGGAGCUAAUACCGGAUAAUAUUUUGAACCGCAUGGUUCAAAAGUGAAAGACGGUCUUGCUGUCACUUAUAGAUGGAUCCGCGCUGCAUUAGCUAGUUGGUAAGGUAACGGCUUACCAAGGCAACGAUGCAUAGCCGACCUGAGAGGGUGAUCGGCCACACUGGAACUGAGACACGGCCCAGACUCCUACGGGAGGCAGCAGUAGGGAAUCUUCCGCAAUGGGCGAAAGCCUUACGGAGCAACGCCGCGUGAGUGAUGAAGGUCUUCGGGUCGUAAAACUCUGUUAUUAGGGAAGAACAUAUGUGUAAGUAACUGUGCACAUCUUGACGGUACCUAAUCAGAAAGCCACGGCUAACUACGUG
rnacentral:rRNA from 1 species